rnacentral:tRNA from 1 species
GCAGGGGUGGCAGAGCCUGGCCAAAUGCGACGGGCUUAGGACCCGUUUCCUUUAGUGGAUGCAAGAGUUCAAAUCUCUUCCCCUGCA